UAGGGAAUCUUCCACAAUGGACGCAAGUCUGAUGGAGCAACGCCGCGUGAGUGAAGAAGGUUUUCGGACCGUAAAGCUCUGUUGUUGGUGAAGAAGGAUAGAGGUAGUAACUGGCCUUUAUUUGACGGUAAUCAACCAGAAAGUCACGGCUAACUACGUGCCAGCAGCCGCGGUAAUACGUAGGUGGCAAGCGUUGUCCGGAUUUAUUGGGCGUAAAGCGAGCGCAGGCGGAAGAAUAAGUCUGAUGUGAAAGCCCUCGGCUUAACCGAGGAAUUGCAUCGGAAACUGUUUUCUUGAGUGCAGAAGAGGAGAGUGGAACUCCAUGUGUAGCGGUGGAAUGCGUAGAUAUAUGGAAGAACACCAGUGGCGAAGGCGGCUCUCUGGUCUGCAACUGACGCUGAGGCUCGAAAGCAUGGGUAGCGAACAGGAUUAGAUACCCUGGUAGUCCAUGCCGUAAACGAUGAGUGCUAAGUGUUGGGAGGUUUCCGCCUCUCAGUGCUGCAGCUAACGCAUUAAGCACUCCGCCUGGGGAGUACGGCCGCAAGGUUGAA
rnacentral:rRNA from 1 species